UUGAACGCUGGCGGCAGGCCUAACACCUGCAAGUCGAACGGUAACAGGAAGCAGCUUGCUGCUUCGCUGACGAGUGGCGGACGGGUGAGUAAUGUCUGGGAAGCUGCCUGAUGGAGGGGGAUAACUACUGGAAACGGUAGCUAAUACCGCAUAAUGUCGCAAGACCAAAGAGGGGGACCUUCGGGCCUCUUGCCAUCGGAUGUGCCCAGAUGGGAUUAGCUUGUUGGUGGGGUAACGGCUCACCAAGGCGACGAUCCCUAGCUGGUCUGAGAGGAUGACCAGCCACACUGGGACUGAGACACGGUCCAGACUCCUACGGGAGGCAGCAGUGGGGAAUAUUGCACAAUGGGCGCAAGCCUGAUGCAGCCAUGCCGCGUGUAUGAAGAAGGCCUUCGGGUUGUAAAGUACUUUCAGCGGGGAGGAAGGGAGUAAAGUUAAUACCUUUGCUCAUUGACGUUACCCGCAGAAGAAGCACCGGCUAACUCCGUG
rnacentral:rRNA from 1 species